rnacentral:rRNA from 1 species
ACGGAAGGCAGCAGUGAGGAAUAUUGGUCAAUGGACGGAAGUCUGAACCAGCCAAGUCGCGUGAAGGAUGAAGGUAUUAUGUAUUGUAAACUUCUUUAGCAGUGGAGUAAUAAGGGGAUCGCGAUCCCUGAUGCAAGUACACUGAGAAUAAGGAUCGGCUAACUCCGUGCCAGCAGCCGCGGUAAUACGGAGGAUCCGAGCGUUAUCCGGAUUUAUUGGGUUUAAAGGGUGCGCAGGCGGAGGAUUAAGUCAGCGGUGAAAUUCUCAUGCUCAACAUGAGAACUGCCAUUGAUACUGGUCCCCUUGAGAGAUGUCGAGGAUGGCGGAAUGUGAUGUGUAGCGGUGAAAUGCUUAGAUAUGUCACAGAACACCGAUUGCGAAGGCAGCUGUCCAGAGAUCAUCUGACGCUCAGGCACGAAAGCAUGGGUAUCAAACAGGAUUAGAUACCCUGGUA